GAGUUUGUUAUUAGUAAGACAGCUCCCUGAACGCAACUGUGGGCUUUCCUGUUUUGUUCUCUUUUUACAUCAUUUAGAUGUGAAUUCCUUAGUCAGCUUCUCCUUAUAGGAACAAAAAUAAUGAAGGGCAAUAAUGAAGAGCCAUCUGAGUGUUUGGGUGUUUCUUUCUUUUUUUCUUUAAUUUUGGAGGGCAGAUCCUGAAAAUUUUGUUAAGAAAGAUAAUGUCAGAAGUUGGUAAACCGUUUUGUCAACCACCUGUCAGUGACUGAAGAGGGAUUUGAUUUUCUGAAUGUCCAUUUGUUGCAGUCUAC
rnacentral:lncRNA from 1 species